rnacentral:tRNA from 1 species
GCUUCGGUAGUGUAGUGGUUAUCUCGUUCGCCUAACACUCGAAAGGUCCCUGGUUCGAGCCCAGUCGGAAACA